CAGCCGCCGCGGGAAUACGUAGGUGGCAAGCGUUGUCCGGAAUUAUUGGGCGUAAAGGGCGCGUAGGCGGAUGGCACAGUCAGAUGUGAAAUUCCCGGGCUUAACCUGGGGGCUGCAUUUGAUACGUGUUGUCUAGAGUGAGGAAGAGGGUUGUGGAAUUCCCAGUGUAGAGGUGAAAUUCGUAGAUAUUGGGAAGAACACCGGUGGCGAAGGCGGCAACCUGGUCCUUGACUGACGCUGAGGCGCGAAAGCGUGGGGAGCAAACAGGAUUAGAUACCCCAGUAGUCCCUGUCUCUUAUAC
rnacentral:rRNA from 1 species